UACGUAGGUGACAAGCGUUGUCCGGAUUUACUGGGCGUAAAGAGCGCGCAGGCGGUCGAUCAAGUCGAGUGUGAAAGCCCCCGGCUCAACUGGGGAGGGUCAUUCGAUACUGAUCGACUCGAAGGCAGGAGAGGGUAGUGGAAUUCCCGGUGUAGUGGUGAAAUGCGUAGAGAUGCGGAGGAACACCAGUGGCGAAAGCGACUUUCUGGUCCUUAACUGACGCUGAGGCGCGAAAGCAUGGGGAGCGAACGGG
rnacentral:rRNA from 1 species